rnacentral:rRNA from 1 species
UCGAUUAUAACGACUGACCGUGUGCCUGUUGAAGAAUGAGCCGGCGACUUAUAGGCACUGGCGGGUUAAGACGGGAAUGUCGAAGCCAAAGCGAAAGCGAGUCUGAAUAGGGCGAAUUAGUCAGUGUUUAUAGACCCGAACCUGGGUGAUCUAACCAUGUCCAGGAUGAAGCUUGGGUAACACCAAGUGGAGGUCCGAACCGACUGAUGUUGAAAAAUCAGCGGAUGAGGUGUGGUUAGGGGUGAAAUGCCAAUCGAACCCAGAGCUAGCUGGUUCUCCCCGAAAUAUGUUGAGGCAUAGCGGUUGAUGUUUAAGUCAGGGGGUAGAGCACUGUUUCGGUGCGGGCUGGGAGACCGGUACCAAAUCGAGACAAACUCCGAAUACCAGAUGAAUAGUCAGCCAGUCAGACGGUGGGGGAUAAGCUUCAUCGUCAAGAGGGAAACAGCCCAGACCACCAGCUAAGGUCCUCAAGUUAUUGCUAAGUGGAAAAGGAGGUGGGAGUGCAGAGACAACCAGGAGGUUUGCCUAGAAGCAGCCAUCCUUAAAAGAGUGCGUAAUAGCUCACUGGUCAAGCGCUCCUGCGCCGAAAAUGAACGGGACUAAGCAAUGCACCGAAGCUGUGGAUUCGAGAGAAUGGUAGGGGAGCGUUCUGUAUAGUGAGAAGCGGUAGCGAGAGCAGCCGUGGACGAAACAGAAGUGAGAAUGUCGGCUUAAGUAGCGAAAAUGUGGGUGAGAAUCCCACACCCCGAAACCCUAAGGAUUCCUCCGGAAGGCUCGUCCACGGAGGGUUAGUCGGGACCUAAGGCGAAGCCGAAGGGCGUAGUCGAUGGAUAUCAGGUUAAUAUUCCUGAACUACUGUAUUGGAGUUGUGAGGGGACGCAUGAGAAAUAUCUACACCCUGAAUGGAUUGGGAGGAAGCUACGGCAUCCGAGUAGAGAAAAGUAGUGCCAAGAAAAGCCGAAACAACGAAGAAGAUAUGGUACCCGUACCCGAAACCGACACAGGUAGGGUGGUAGAGUAUACCGAGGGGCGCGAGAUAACUCUCUCUAAGGAACUCGGCAAAAUGGCCCCGUAACUUCGGGAGAAGGGGUGCCACUGAAAGGUGGUCGCAGUGAAGAGUCCCAGGCGACUGUUUACCAAAAACACAGGUCUCUGCAAACUCGUAAGAGGAAGUAUAGGGGCUGACGCCUGCCCAGUGCCGGAAGGUUAAGGAAGUUGGUCAGCGAAAGUGAAGCUGACGACCGAAGCCCCGGUGAACGGCGGCCGUAACUAUAACGGUCCUAAGGUAGCGAAAUUCCUUGUCGGGUAAGUUCCGACCCGCACGAAAGGCGUAACGAUCUGGGAGCUGUCUCGGAGAGAGACUCGGCGAAAUAGAAUUGUCUGUGAAGAUGCGGACUACCUGCACCUGGACAGAAAGACCCUAUGAAGCUUUACUGUAACUUGGCAUUGGGUUCGGGCUUUGAUUGCGCAGGAUAGGUGGGAGACAGAGAGACAAUCCUUGUGGGGAUUGAGGAGUCAACGGUGAGAUACCACUCUAUCAAGGCUAGAAUUCUAACUAAAAGGACAGUGUCAGGUGGGCAGUUUGACUGGGGCGGUCGCCUCCUAAAAGGUAACGGAGGCGCGCAAAGGUUCCCUCAGGCUGGUUG